GGCCUCGGGCGGGGCCCAAGCCCCAGGCCUGACACGCUGGGCAGAGAGAUCCCCCAGCUAAGCUCUUCCUGGGGCGGCGGUUCUCAAAAGGCAACCCUUUCUUUUUGAGGCCGGUUUUGGACCAGUUGCCACUUGGGGUCCCUGUCUCCCCCAGCCAUCAAGGCCCCCAGGGGUCCCUUAUUAGAGGAGGCCCCUCGGCCAGUCAGCAGGCUUCGCGGCAUCGGGGUUGCCUCCAUCAUUACCUUCAGGUUGAUUAUGCGCGUCUGUGUGAAAGAAGGCUUGUUAACAGGUUUUUAGUACCUCAAUAGCCCUCUCCUGUGACCUGGCCUGUAUACACAACUGCGGAGUUCCAGGUUUCUCAGGACCUUGCGCCGGGCUUCGCUAGCGCGUGCGCAGUAUGCACCCCGUCCGCAGGGCCUGGGCAGCUAUUUUUUUGUAGGCCUUUGGAGUUACGGCCGGUUCCAAACCCGUGCAUAGUCUGCUGGACAGAGGCAUCUCCCUGAAGCUUCUCCUAGGCUCCGUGAGGCGAGAGGAGUCUGGACCAGCUUGCGAGGAUGGGGCCUACAGUGCUGCCGAGGUCAUCCUUCGGAAAGCGACACUUGUCAUAAAAGACAUUGCGACUUUAUCUGUGGCCUUGGAUCACUCAACCUUGAAGGAUGUCUGCUGCUUUGUCAAAAAGACAGCCAAGCAGCCCUGUGGAGAAAUUCAGGAGACGAGGAACUUUGGCCAACAGCCAUGUGAAGGAGAGCCUCCAACACCGGUCAAGUCUCCGGAUGACGAUGCAGCCUGGCUGACAUCUUGCGGCUUCAUGCAAGAGCCUGAGCCAAAACCCUCCAGCUAAGCCAAUCUCAAAUUCCUGGCCCACCAGAACCUAAACAAAAAGUCUUUGGUGCUGGUGAUGGGAUUUGACUUUGCCCUACUUACAAGUUAUGAACUUAGCCUGUUGCUGUUUCACAGACUCCUGGGUCAGAGACCAGAAACUUCUUACCCAUUGCACAGAUUAUCUAUCUGGGAGACAACAGAAGACAGACAUCCUAAGUUUUAAUCAUGGAUCUGAAAUCAUGAGCAAGCCUGGAGAUUUAGCUUCUGAGCCUCAGCUUUCUUGUCUCUAAAAUGGGGAUUCAAUACCUUCCAUACAGGAGUUCUUGGAGGAUUAAAAGACAGAAGUCAAGCUGAGCUCUUCAGGCAACAGCCUUUGUGAAGCCCAGUUCUCAUUGGACCAGGCCUUCUUCCUACAUGAGGUGCUUUUUGUGUUUCCUGUUGUCUUUCUGAUAACUUGGGUAUUGGCAGGGAUCUGUCUGCCAAGUUUCCUAAACUGUGUACUCAGGCAUCUCAGGGUACAGCAGCAAACCCACCUAGAGCAGUCCAGGACAAUUUUAUUUUAUGUUUAUUUAUUAUUUUUGAGAGAGAGACAGGGUGCGAGUGGGGGAGGAGCAGAGAGAGGGAGACACAGAAUUCAAAGCAGGCUCCAGGCUCUGAGCUAUCAGCACAGAGCUCUAUGCGGGGCUUGAGCCCACGAGCUGUGAAAUCAUGACGUGAGCCGAAGUGAAGUUGGACGGUUAACCGACUGAGCCACCCAGGCACCCCCUGGGAUAUUUUAAAUUUUAAAGGGAAACAGUGAAACUUGGCAUCUGUCAGACAUGGCAUGAACUAUAUCGGCCCCAGGAAGUUUGCAGUUUCAGCAUUAAAUUAUGGUACAUUUCUUUCGUUGAUGUCAUACCUUUGCAAGACUGUUUUCUGUGGUUGCUGUGACAAAAAGUAAAUGCUACGUGGAAAUCUGUGUACAACAGGUAGAAGAUAGCAAAAUUCCAUCUGAAUCCAAGGUUUGAGAAAUUGCAGUGACCAAGAGGUAAAGAUAUCUCAUUAGUACCUAAGUGGGGUUAUUUAAAAAUGAAAUAAAAAUGUAUUUUUCUCAAUUUUUUUGUGUAUUAUUUUUCAUAUGCCUACUAAGGUCUUAGGAUAUGGAAUAUUCAUUAAGUUGUUUGGAUCUUACUACAUAGUAGGUGGUAUUUCUUAGGUAUUUCUUUUGGUCUAGGGGUAUGUGAAAAAGUGACUGAGAUACUAAGUGCUGUGAACUAACUUUGUUCUAAAGAUGUUUAACCUAGGAUAGACAACAGUAACAUAGAGGAAUAUGUAGAUUUUGUAGUAGGUAUGUAAUAACAAAUGUUACAACAGUCAGACUAAAUUUGUGGAUAAACUAUUCCCCAGGAAACCACUUCUUUAAUUAGCUAAUUCCUGUGUAUCCUCAAAUCUCAAUUAAAAUAUAACCUGUUCCAGGAAGCCUUCCCUGAUUUAUAACUCUCCUACUCCCAUUCUCAGGGCCAUCUAGAUAAGGAACCUGUCAUCUAGGUUUCCAAAAACACAUUGCUUAUCCCAACAUAGCAUCCUAGGAUCUUUGAUUUUUUUGUCUCUGUUUGAGUUUGUGGAGGGUGGAGACCAGAUCUAAAUGAAUUUUGUAUCUGUUGAAUCUGGCACCGUAUUUAGCAUGUAACAAGUGCUCAGAAGGUAUUUGUUGAUGAACUAAUAAAAUGUACACAGGUAUACAUGGGUAAUAGUAACCAGUGUUUACUAAGCAUUUUAUAGGUACUCCCAGGGUUAUUCAAAUGUCAUCGUAUUAUCUUCUAACUUGAAGACGAUUUCGUUUUCUUGUUACUUAAAGACCAUCUAGUGUGAUCUCUGAG